GUGCUUGCGUCGGCAGCAAAUAUAAUAAAAUUGGAAUGAUACAGAGAAGAUUAGCGUGACCCCUGUGCAAGGAUGACACGGGAAUUCUCAAAACAUUCCGUGUUUUU
ensembl:snRNA U6 U6 spliceosomal RNA